rnacentral:rRNA from 1 species
GGCGAGUGGCGAACGGGUGAGUAAUAUAUCGGAACGUGCCCUAGAGUGGGGGAUAACUAGUCGAAAGACUAGCUAAUACCGCAUACGAUCUACGGAUGAAAGUGGGGGAUCGCAAGACCUCAUGCUCCUGGAGCGGCCGAUAUCUGAUUAGCUAGUUGGUGGGGUAAAAGCCUACCAAGGCGACGAUCAGUAGCUGGUCUGAGAGGACGACCAGCCACACUGGGACUGAGACACGGCCCAGACUCCUACGGGAGGCAGCAGUGGGGAAUUUUGGACAAUGGGGGCAACCCUGAUCCAGCAAUGCCGCGUGAGUGAAGAAGGCCUUCGGGUUGUAAAGCUCUUUUGUCAGGGAAGAAACGGUAGUAGCUAAUAUCUAUUACUAAUGACGGUACCUGAAGAAUAAGCACCGGCUAACUACGUGCCAGCAGCCGCGGUAAUACGUAGGGUGCAAGCGUUAAUCGGAAUUACUGGGCGUAAAGCGUGCGCAGGCGGUUGUGUAAGUCAGAUGUGAAAUCCCCGGGCUCAACCUGGGAAUUGCAUUUGAGACUGCACGGCUAGAGUGUGUCAGAGGGGGGUAGAAUUCCACGUGUAGCAGUGAAAUGCGUAGAUAUGUG